AGCAAUUACUCCAGGCACCUCACCUGCCCUCGGGCCAGCAUCAGACGGAGGCAGGGCUCCUCCUGGAUUCAAGGAAGCCCCAGUGCCAAGGAUGAUGGAACCCUUGAGAACCAGACUAGUUGGCAGGGCUCCUGUGUCCUCCACAGCUGGUGGGGUGUCUGGGCCAUGCCUCCUAGUAGUCUUGUGCUAAACACAGGGAGGAGCAGGGUGGGGGUGGCAGACCUGACUCACUCCAGCUCUGGGCCAGGCACCUCUGCUCUAGGAAGCAGUGGGGUUAUUGUCCCUGUUUGACAAGAAAACAGAAGCACAAGGUGGAUAGACCUACCCGAGGUUACCUGUUGGUGGCAGAGAUUCACAGCCGGCUGUCGGGUGUCAGGGGCUCAUGCCUAUGAUCCAAGCCCUAAAUCUGUUCCUCCUCCCCAGUCCCCAUCCCCCAGGCCAUGCUGAGGCUGCCUCACCUUGCCCACACCAUGGCACUCUUCCUUUACCCCU
rnacentral:lncRNA from 1 species